AGAGUUUGAUCAUGGCUCAGAUUGAACGCUGGCGGCAGGCCUAACACAUGCAAGUCGAGCGCGAAAGGCUUUCGGGCUGAGUAGAGCGGCGGACGGGUGAGUAACGCGUAGGAAUCUACCUGGUAGUGGGGACAACUUGGGGAAACUCAAGCUAAUACCGCAUACGCCCCAAGGGGGAAAGCGGGGGACCUUCGGGCCUCGCGCUAUCAGAUGAGCCUGCGUAGGAUUAGCUAGUUGGUGAGGUAAAGGCUCACCAAGGCGACGAUCCUUAGCUGGUCUGAGAGGAUGAUCAGCCACACUGGGACUGAGACACGGCCCAGACUCCUACGGGAGGCAGCAGUGGGGAAUAUUGCGCAAUGGGGGCAACCCUGACGCAGCCAUGCCGCGUGUGUGAAGAAGGCCUUCGGGUUGUAAAGCACUUUAAGUGGGGAAGAAAAGUUGGUCGUUAAUAGCGGCCAGCCCUGACAUUACCCACAGAAUAAGCACCGGCUAACUCCGUGCCAGCAGCCGCGGUA
rnacentral:rRNA from 1 species